rnacentral:rRNA from 1 species
GACGAACGCUGUCGGCGUGCUUAACACAUGCAAGUCGAACGGAAAGGCCCUGCUUUUGUGGGGUGCUCGAGUGGCGAACGGGUGAGUAACACGUGAGUAACCUGCCCUUGACUUUGGGAUAACUUCAGGAAACUGGGGCUAAUACCGGAUAGGAGCUCCUGCUGCAUGGUGGGGGUUGGAAAGUUUCGGCGGUUGGGGACGGACUCGCGGCUUAUCAGCUUGUUGGUGGGGUAGUGGCUUACCAAGGCUUUGACGGGUAGCCGGCCUGAGAGGGUGACCGGCCACAUUGGGACUGAGAUACGGCCCAGACUCCUACGGGAGGCAGCAGUGGGGAAUAUUGCACAAUGGGCGGAAGCCUGAUGCAGCAACGCCGCGUGCGGGAUGACGGCCUUCGGGUUGUAAACCGCUUUCGCCUGUGACGAAGCGUGAGUGACGGUAAUGGGUAAAGAAGCACCGGCUAACUACGUGCCAGCAGCCGCGGUGAUACAUAGGGUGCGAGCGUUGUCCGGAUUUAUUGGGCGUAAAGGGCUCGUAGGUGGUUGAUCGCGUCGGAAGUGUAAUCUUGGGGCUUAACCCUGAGCGUGCUUUCGAUACGGGUUGACUUGAGGAAGGUAGGGGAGAAUGGAAUUCCUGGUGGAGCGGUGGAAUGCGCAGAUAUCAGGAGGAACACCAGUGGCGAAGGCGGUUCUCUGGGCCUUUCCUGACGCUGAGGAGCGAAAGCGUGGGGAGCGAACAGGCUUAGAUACCCUGGUAGUCCACGCUGUAAACGGUGGGUACUAGGUGUGGGGUCCAUUCCACGGGUUCCGUGCCGUAGCUAACGCUUUAAGUACCCCGCCUGGGGAGUACGGCCGCAAGGCUAAAACUCAAAGGAAUUGACGGGGCCCCGCACAAGCGGCGGAGCAUGCGGAUUAAUUCGAUGCAACGCGUAGAACCUUACCUGGGUUUGACAUGGAUCGGGAGUGCUCAGAGAUGGGUGUGCCUCUUUUGGGGUCGGUUCACAGGUGGUGCAUGCCUGUCGUCAGCUCGUGUCGUGAGAUGUUGGGUUAAGUCCCGCAACGAGCGCAACCCUUGUUCACUGUUGCCAGCACGUUAUGGUGGGGACUCAGUGGAGACCGCCGGGGUCAACUCGGAGGAAGGUGGGGAUGACGUCAAGUCACCAUGCCCCUUAUGUCCAGGGCUUCACGCAUGCUACAAUGGCUGGUACAGAGAGUGGCGAGCCUGUGAGGGUGAGCGAAUCUCGGAAAGCCGGUCUCAGUUCGGAUUGGGGUCUGCAACUCGACCUCAUGAAGUCGGAGUCGCUAGUAAUCGCAGAUCAGCAACGCUGCGGUGAAUACGUUCCCGGG